UGAGAGACGACAGCUAGGGGAGCGUACAGGAUUAGAGACCCUGGUAGUCCUAGCCGUAAACGAUGGAUGCUAGGUGUGGGAGUGAAGAACUUCUGUGCCGCAGCGAACGCGAUAAGCAUCCCGCCUGGGGAGUACGGCCGCAAGGUUAUACUCAAACGAAUUGACGGGGACCCGGCACAAGCAGCGGAGCGUGUGGUUUAAUUCGAUUGCUACACGAAGAACCUUACCUGGGAUUGACAUAUGGGUGGUAGUGAGCCGAAAGGCAAGCGACCCUUCCGGGGAGCCUAUACAGGUGCUGCAUGGCUGUCGUCAGCUCGUGCCGUGAGGUGUCGGGUUAAGUCCCGUAACGAGCGCAACCCCUGUCCUUAGUUACAAGUGUCUAAGGGGACUGCCGGCGGGAAGCCGGAGGAAGGUGAGGGAUGACGUUCAAGUCAGCUAUGGCCAAGUAAAUACAAGGGCGACACACACGCUACAAUGGUCGGUACAGAGGGCAGCGAAGCCGCGAGGUGGAGCGAAACCCAGAAAGCCGGUCGUAGUUCGGAUUGCAGGCUGCAACUCGCCUGCAUGAAGUUGGAGUUGCUAGUAACCGCAGGUCAGCCAUACUGCGGUGAUACGUUCCCGGGUCUUGUACACACCGCCCGUCACGUCAUGGGAGUCGGUAACGCCUGAAGACGGUAGUCUGACCGGAAGGAAACGCUGUCG
rnacentral:rRNA from 1 species